rnacentral:lncRNA from 1 species
AUGCUCUUAUUGCGAGAUCUCAGCGUCACUCCUAGCCUUCAAAGCACUGAGUAUCUGAACUGUGCCGGGCGGCGCCCUCCCCGGCACUUCCUCGGGAAUGGGCCUUGCAGCUGCUGGCUUGUUGGGUCCUUGAAAGAGACACCGUGGUGCUGUGAUCCUCCACGGGGCAGCGCCUGCAGGAGGAAGCUCCCCAGGAGCGUGCCACGGAAGACAGCUCCAAGAAGUUGGGCCCCGGAAACACAACCCCAAACUCUGAAGGAAAGAGGAAAAGGAGUCGGGGGAGAGGGAGGGGGAGGGGAGGAAGUAGCUUGUGACGUCUUUGUCAACGGACAGGCUGCCAAGCCCCCAAAGGCCAUUUUAAACGCUAGAUUAACAGAGAUUUGUUUUCCUGCCCUCUCGCGCGCCAAAGUCUCAGCCUUCACACAGGUUUCUAAGACGUCUUUUAAGUUAGGGCUUAAAAUGGGCCAUACUUUGUUUUUUGGUACCGGGGAUCGAACUCUGGUCCUUGCGCUUGUGCAGCAGGUGGCGAAACCACUGAGCUAAAUCCCGGCCCCAAAUUGGCCAUACUUUAAUUAAAUGCAAAUCUGUUCCUUUUUGGGGGUGGGGGGUACCAGGGAUCGAACUUGGGACUUUGCACUUUCAAGGCAGGCGGCAGCACCAUUGAGCUAAAUCCUCGGCCCCUUAAAUGCAAAUCUGUAUAUAAUAAAAACCAUGCUGUGGUUUUUUUGCGUUAGUUUUUUUGUUUUGCUUUUUGCAGUGCCGGGUAUCAAACUCAAGGCUUUGUGUAUGCUAGGCAAGUACUGUACCCCUGAGCUACACCUUGCCCAUGCUGUGGUCUUUAAGUAUUAAGCAUGUGUGUGUGUUUAGUAUCAAUCUGAAUGUGUUACAGUGAAAAUGCCAAUUCAUUAAAAACACAUCAAAGCUCAUUAAAAACAUAACUGAGUUCCUAACAGCAUGUUUGUCAUCCUUUGUUCUCUAACGUACCAAGGGUUUGCCUUAUAGGGGUCCUGGAAAUGUGGACACAGAUGGAAGUCUGUGGAAGUCUGUGAACUGGGUACACUGAGUAUCACUGACUUGGGCCAUAAACUCCUAACAGGAGCAAAUGACACCAGCUAAACAAGCAAACAGAAAUGGACUGAAAUUUAAUGCUCUUUCGCCAAAAAGCAAGAGCUAGGAAAUACAUAAAUAUGAUUUUGAUUGACCGGAAGGUCACCAAAAGACCACCAGAGUAAGGUCCUCCUCAGGCUCAUGGGACACACGCAGUGUGCAGCUCCUCCCUGCAGGGCAGCUCCAGAAGCUCUUCCUGUGUCACACAGGGGCCAGCACUGCUCAGUGUAGGGGCAGGGACAGUAACCCACAAAGUUCAAAGGCAAUGCUUGGGAUUCUGAUCUGGAUAGGGUCAGACAGGCGUGUGAGUUUGUUAUGCAAACUGGGCAUUGCCUCAGUCAUAAAAUGAAGUGAAGUAUCUAGACUGUCUUUGAACAGAAGUGUUGUUACUCCCUUACCUGUUCUCUCUAGAUUGUCCCCUGAACUCAUUAACAUCAAAUGAUUUCUUGUUUAAGUACUUAUUUGUAUCUUAAGAUUAUAAUAAGAGAAAGAAGUGUACUCUAAGAAUGUUAACAGUCAUUUAGGUUUUGAAGUAGAAUAAGGUGGUACAUUUUUUAAGUCAAGUGUAAAUACAUCAUCUUAAUCACCAGGACCUUUGGUUGAAGAACCAAGCUGUGUCCCUUCAGCGUUUGUGGGCUCACUCUGCAUACACGUGGCUUCACCUGGCCACUCCUACUUAGGAAGAGAAAUAUAGAACCACAGCAAUUCCUAAGAAAACCUGGUCUAGGGCCGGGGAUUUAGCUCAGUGGUUCUGUUGCCAGUCCUGCAAGUGGAAGGACCCGAGUUUGAUCUCUGGUACCAAAAAAAAAAAAAAAGAAAGAAAACCUGGUCUAUAUAUCAAAUUAAAAAGCUUCCGUACAGCAAAGGAAACAGUGAAAAGACAAUCUACAGAAUGGAAAAAAAUGUUUUGCCAGCUAUUCCAUGGACAGAGGACUAACACCAAGAAUAUAUGAAGAACUCAAAAAUAAUGAGACCUCCAAAGCAAACGACCCAAUCAAAAAGUGGGCAACCAAAACGAAUUGACACUCCUCAGAAGCAGCCGCACAAGUGGCCAAUAAAUACCUGAAAAAAUGCUCAUUAUCACUGACAAUCAGAGAAAUGAAAAUUAGAACUACGCUCAGAUCCCAUUACCCCAGAAACAAUGGCUACCAUCAAAAAAAUCUAACAACAACGAAUGCUGACAAGGAUGAGGGGAAAAGGAACCCUCCUACAUUGUUGGUGGGAAUGUAAACUAGUACAACCACUAUGGAAAUCAGUGUGGAGAGUCCUCAAAAAACUAAAACUAGAAAUCCCAUUUGACCGAGCUAUCCCUCUCCUAGGUACCUUCCCAAAAGAGUUAAAAUCAUAUUACGGGGCACAUGCAUACCCAUGUUCCUAGCAGCACACAUUGUAAUAGCUCUAUCUUAGAAACAGUGUAUAUGCUCAUCAUCAGAUGAAAGGAUAAGGAAAGUGUGGAAUUUAUACACAAUGGAGUACUACUCUGCCAUAAAGAUAAAUUUGAUCUGUAGGUACAUGGAUGCAAGUUGAGAACACAAUGUUAAAUAAGACCCACAGCUUAAAUAUCACAUGGUUUCUCUUAUACGAGAAACACUGUAUGUGUAGACACACACACAAACAGAAAGAGCAAAAUAGAAGAGAUAAACAGGAAGGAGAAUACUUCCCCAAAUUACAUGUUCCAUUGUUUUAAAAGUAUUUCAAUGUUUGCUUUCCUUCACUUAUACUAAUUAUCUUAGUUUGUUGAAAAGAAAGUUUAUGUUAUUAUCUGUUUCUUUUUUGUAAGAAUACCAUAUCUUUUGUUUAGGUCUCCUACUGAGUAACUACUUUGAAGGUAACAACAGUACA